GUGUCUGUUUGUGUGUUCUUCUGCAUGCAUGUGUGUAUGGCUUUGUGUCUCUGUCUGCACGUUGGUGUUUGUGUCUGUGUGUGUGUGCACGUGGGUCUGUGUCUGUGUGUUUGUGUGCCUGUGCCCGCGGGUCUGUGUGUAUGUGUGUGUGUCCAUGUCUGUGUGUGUCUGUGUGUGUAUAUGCCUGUGCAUGCGGUGUCUGUUUUUUUGUGCCUGUGCCCGUGGGUCUGUAUGGUGUGUGUGCGUGUGUGUGUGUGUGUGUGUGUGUGUGUGUGUGUGUGUGUGUGUGUGUGUGUGUGUGUGUGUGUGUGUGUGUGUGUGUGUGUGUGUGUGUGUGUGUGACUGUGCAUGCGGUGUGUGUCGUUGUGUCUGUGUAAGUGUGCCUGUGCACGGUGUGUGUGUGUGUGUGUGUUAAUAUGUGUGUGUGUGUGUGUGUGUGUGUGUG
ensembl:lncRNA